GUCACUUUGCCGGAGUGGUUAACGGGAUCGCCUGCUAUUUAUAGCUGUUAGCGGUUGGGCUUUGCCCGCGAGUGUUCGAAUCGCUCAGGUGACG
rnacentral:tRNA from 1 species